rnacentral:rRNA from 1 species
AGCGAACGCUGGCGGCAGGCCUAACACAUGCAAGUCGAGCGCCGUAGCAAUACGGAGCGGCAGACGGGUGAGUAACACGUGGGAACGUGCCCUUCGGUUCGGAAUAUUCCAGCGAAAGUUGGAGCAAUACCGGAUACGUCCGCAAGGAGAAAGAUUUAUCGCCGAAGGAUCGGCCCGCGUCUGAUUAGCUUGUUGGUGAGGUAACGGCUCACCAAGGCGACGAUCAGUAGCUGGUCUGAGAGGAUGAUCAGCCACACUGGGACUGAGACACGGCCCAGACUCCUACGGGAGGCAGCAGUGGGGAAUAUUGGACAAUGGGCGCAAGCCUGAUCCAGCCAUGCCGCGUGAGUGAUGAAGGCCCUAGGGUUGUAAAGCUCUUUCGGCGGGGAAGAUAAUGACGGUACCCGCAGAAGAAGCCCCGGCCAACUUCGUGCCAGCCGCCGCCGUAACAC